UACGUAGGGUGCAAGCGUUAUCCGGAAUUAUUGGGCGUAAAGAGCUCGUAGGCGGUUUGUCGCGUCUGCUGUGAAAACUGGAGGCUCAACCUCCAGCCUGCAGUGGGUACGGGCAAACUAGAGUGCGGUAGGGGAGAUUGGAAUUCCUGGUGUAGCGGUGGAAUGCGCAGAUAUCAGGAGGAACACCGAUGGCGAAGGCAGAUCUCUGGGCCGUAACUGACGCUGAGGAGCGAAAAGCAUGGGGGAGCGAACAGG
rnacentral:rRNA from 1 species